CGGAGUCAAAAUUAUACUUCCAUUUGAUUUAUUUCUGGGAGGCAGGUAGCAGUGCCAAAGGUAGCUCUAAUUGGCUUAGAGCUGCUCAUCAUUGAGAAACAGGUUCCACGUUCAUGAGGAUUUUGAAUCUAACUGUGGACUCAGGGGAGACCUCUACGAUGUUGUUGGCUACAUGAAGCUACUGAAUGGACAACUGCUCAUUCACCGUCCGUCCUUGACGACAUGGAAAUUAGCGAACACAAGGCGUGUUCUAAUUCACUUACAAACUUAAGAGUAAGCUGUCUCCAUGUAUUUAAAUAAUGUCUUCUCUCUUUGAAUAUUUAAGUUUCUUGCUCUCAAACAAAUAGAAUUUAACCACCAUGAAUCAACAUUUGCAAAGGCAGAAACAACUUUCUAAACGUUCACGGCCAGUGCCGCCACUCCCGUCAUCCUUUUAGUGACAACUGUGAAUCCAAAAUUUUGUCCAUCUGAUUCCACGUUUUGAUGUCUGACCCAUAAACAACAGGGGCCCUUGCCCUCAGCUCAAUGUCAUCAUCACAUGUUUCUUCGACAAAGAUUCCAAACCACAGUCGGCUACUUCAGUUGUUGAAUUCUAACUCGGAUAUGCUAAGAACGUGAAUGUAUAGGUGGUGACUAAGGCUAAGACAAUGACAAAUGGAAAAAUCUUUUCUUAUAUCAAGCAAGGAUCAGCCAAGCUAUUGCAAAACAAAGGCCAACAAAAGGCCCUUCUUUAUUGAUGUGCUCUAAAUGUGGCAAUGAAAACGUAACCAGAGUCAUAAAUGGUAUCUUUCUAAGACCUUUGUCUAGGACAAUAACGACAGGGUUGUGAUUAUGUUACUUGGAUUCAGGCCGUGAGCUAACUGGAAAGCUAAUGGGGAUCUUGGUACUGACCAUGAAUGGCUGUUCUACAAACUUUGAUCGACACCAUUGGUCAAACACAUAGGUUCAAGGUGAAAGUUUAUGAAUAAAACUUAGAAGGACUCUGGCUAUAACAACUAUGAAAGUUGUCUCUCCCUUAGUCCUGCAACCUUUAACAUCCCAGUUGGAAUCCCAUUUGCCAUUGCUUCCGAAGUGCUUCUGUUUUCUGCAAGUGAUUAGGGUGAGUCCUCCAAAGACUGGAGACCUGGCUGAUGGAGAAAACGCCAGUACAAGUAGCUGUUACAAAGCACAGAGAGGAAAACAUGCUUAACUUGGUUAAUAGAGUAUUAAUCACUCAUUUAAUAGAUUGCAUUCAUGUGUAGGAGUGCAACUUAUCUUUUCGUUUUUAAAUCUGAGCUUUUGCUAAGUUUUUCUAAUAUCCUUUAAGUAUGGCUUUACAUAAUAUAUUUGCAAGCAGAUGAGUCAAUUGGAAUUACUUUAAUGGUUA